UACGAAGGGUGCAAGCGUUAAUCGGAAUUACUGGGCGUAAAGCGCGCGUAGGUGGUUCGUUAAGUUAGGAGUGAAAGCCCCGGGCUCAACCUGGGAAUUGCUUCUAAAACUGGCGAGCUAGAGUAUGGUAGAGGGUGGUGGAAUUUCCUGUGUAGCGGUGAAAUGCGUAGAGAUCGGGAGGAACACCGGUGGCGAAGGCGGCCUUCUGGACGGUGACUGACGCUGAGACGCGAAAGCGUGGGUAGCAAACAGGAUUAGAUACCCGCGUAGUCCCUGAGCGGG
rnacentral:rRNA from 1 species